AUUGAACGCUGGCGGCAGGCCUAACACAUGCAAGUCGAACGGUAACAGGAAGAAGCUUGCUUCUUCGCUGACGAGUGGCGGACGGGUGAGUAAUGUCUGGGAAGCUGCCUGAUGGAGGGGGAUAACUACUGGAAACGGUAGCUAAUACCGCAUAACGACGCAAGACCAAAGAGGGGGACCUUCGGGCCUCUUGCCAUCGGAUGUGCCCAGAUGGGAUUAGCUAGUAGGUGGGGUAACGGCUCACCUAGGCGACGAUCCCUAGCUGGUCUGAGAGGAUGACCAGCCACACUGGAACUGAGACACGGUCCAGACUCCUACGGGAGGCAGCAGUGGGGAAUAUUGCACAAUGGGCGCAAGCCUGAUGCAGCCAUGCCGCGUGUAUGAAGAAGGCCUUCGGGUUGUAAAGUACUUUCAGCGGGGAGGAAGGGAGUAAGGUUAAUACCUUUGCUCAUUGACGUUACCCGCAGAAGAAGCACCGGCUAACUCCGUGCCAGCAGCCGCGGUAA
rnacentral:rRNA from 1 species